rnacentral:rRNA from 1 species
AGAGUUUGAUCCUGGCUCAGGAUGAACGCUGGCGGCGUGCCUAAUACAUGCAAGUCGAACGAAACUUCUUUAUCACCGAGUGCUUGCACUCACCGAUAAAGAGUUGAGUGGCGAACGGGUGAGUAACACGUGGGCAACCUGCCCAAAAGAGGGGGAUAACACUUGGAAACAGGUGCUAAUACCGCAUAACCAUAGUUACCGCAUGGUAACUAUGUAAAAGGUGGCUAUGCUACCGCUUUUGGAUGGGCCCGCGGCGCAUUAGCUAGUUGGUGGGGUAAAGGCUUACCAAGGCAAUGAUGCGUAGCCGAACUGAGAGGUUGAUCGGCCACAUUGGGACUGAGACACGGCCCAAACUCCUACGGGAGGCAGCAGUAGGGAAUCUUCCACAAUGGGCGAAAGCCUGAUGGAGCAACGCCGCGUGGGUGAAGAAGGUCUUCGGAUCGUAAAACCCUGUUGUUAGAGAAGAAAGUGCGUGAGAGUAACUGUUCACGUUUCGACGGUAUCUAACCAGAAAGCCACGGCUAACUACGUGCCAGCAGCCGCGGUAAUACGUAGGUGGCAAGCGUUAUCCGGAUUUAUUGGGCGUAAAGGGAACGCAGGCGGUCUUUUAAGUCUGAUGUGAAAGCCUUCGGCUUAACCGGAGUAGCGCAUUGGAAACUGGGAGACUUGAGUGCAGAAGAGGAGAG